rnacentral:rRNA from 1 species
AUUGAACGCUAGCGGGAUGCUUUACACAUGCAAGUCGAACGAGUGGCGGACGGGUGAGUAAUAUAUCAGAACGUGCCCAGUAGCGGGGGAUAACUACUCGAAAGAGAGGCUAAUACCGCAUACUCUUGGAGCGGCCGAUAUUGGAUUAGCUAGUGGGGGGGGUAAAGGCUCACCAAGGCAACGAUCCGUAGCUGGUUGGAGAGGACGACCAGCAACACUGGGACGGAGACACGGCCCAGACUCCUACGGUAGGCAGCAGUGGGGAAUUUUGGACAAUGGGGGAAACCCUGAUCCAGCAAUCCCGCGUGUAUGAGAAGGCCUUGGGGUUGUAAAGUACUUUUGGCAGGGCAGCGGUAUCUGAAGAAUAAGCACCGGCUAACUACGUGCCAGCAGCCGCGGUAAUUC